AAUUUCUAUCCAAACGUUAUAAUUGUGAUUGUUAUCUCUAGGAUUUCACAUGUAGUAUACCGUCUUGUAUUAAUAUAUUUAUAU
rnacentral:sRNA from 1 species